AUAGGCGAUAGGUAACAGACGAAGGUGCAUGAGUGAGAUCUGUUUCUCUGUGUCUUAGUGUGAUAUGUGGCUGUACCAACUGUACUAUAUUUGCUUGUGAGCAUUGCCAAGCCACAUUACUACCACUAGUAUGCAUAUAACCAGUGCAGCGUGUGACGUACGUGUACGUGUUGCUUGCGCCCGAAGAUUGUGUAACGUAGCUGUUUGACAAGUCGACGAGACGCCCUCGAUCGCACAUCGUUACUACAAGUGUCCAGAGCUAGUGGAUUAUCAGUCCGUGUACAUAACGAUAGACCGCUGGUUGGCCUGGUCAAACCUGUUUUGAAGUCGCCAGAUGGCACAGCUAGUACGCCUACGUUCAAACGUUUACUGCGGCCGGCCGGCUAGGCCGGCAGCACAACUGGUUACUGCGUGCGAGUUUGCGACUUACAAGCGCCCAGAAAGUAAAGUCGUGAGCAAACAACAAUGUCAGUUUUCCGGCAACAUCCAGUGAAGCCGGGAGAUAAACCUAAACGGGUCCAGCAUCGCAUUCGUUUAGAUGUCAGAGACAUUCCGGAGUUGCAAAGGGUGAAGGAAAUCGCGGGAAUUUCACAAAAUGGCGAUUUCCUUGAUCAGGGUGCGUAAGGCAUCACGGCGCCACUGCUAGUGAAAUCACUGCGCCUGCAGCUGCUGCUGCGCCAACUUCUCCGACUACAUCUGCAGCUGUGGAAACACCUGCGAGAACUCCGGAGCGAUUCUUUCGCUCAACGCCAGUUUCAAAAGGUAUCGCGCCAUCAACACCUUAUAGUGGAAAAAAUCACAACCCAUUCUGGGAUUUGUCGCCAAUAGCCGAGGUCGAGCCUGAGACAUUCUUCCACUUAGCUCCGGCUGCACCCAGCGAUAUCUUGUCUGCACAAUGACGGUUGACGAGGAA